rnacentral:snRNA from 1 species
GUGCUCACUUCGGCAGCACAUAUACUAAAAUUGGAACGAUACAGAGAAGAUUAGUAUGGCCCCUGCACAAGGAUGACACGCAAAUUUGUGAAGCGUUCCAUAUUUUA